CUUCAUUUUCCUCGUCUGGGAGGAGCAGUUCUUUGUGUUAUGAUCAAAGGGGGAAAGAGGAUGUCUGAUAAUACGAGGACUUCCAGAGUGUGCCAACGUUGUUGAUAACUUCUACGGGAGGGGUCUUGCCAAAUGACUACAAUCAAGCUCCUACCUCUGUACAGCCUAAGACAAUUCCUCCCUUCAUCCACAGCGAUUAUGACUAUUGAAUAGGAAACCAACCGGUUACGCUGAGCUCCUACUCUUUCUUGCAUUUUGUGAGGUCCGCAGUAGCAUCUGUACGACGGGGCGAUGGCGAAGGGGCUGUUCAGAGGGUGAUUGGUGUCGCCUUGCCUGACAACCAUCUCACAACAGGGAUAGUUUCAUUCUGCUGCGAUCUAGUGAUGUCUGCUCGCUCUGGAGUGCUGUACCCUACCUGUUAUGUUAUUUUUCUGCUAUACCAAAAAAAAUGUGGAGGUAUUAGAGCUUUUUUUUUUUUUUUUAAAAAGCAGCUCAAACGUUCAAACAUCUUCCUCUGAAGUGA